rnacentral:rRNA from 1 species
CACGUAGGGCGCGAGCGUUGUCCGGAAUUAUUGGGCGUAAAGAGCUCGUAGGCGGCCUGUUGCGUCCGCUGUGAAAGCCCGGGGCUCAACCCCGGGUCGGCCGUGCGAACUGUCGAGCUGGAGCACUGUAGAGGCAGGUGGAAUUCCGGGUGUAGCGGUGGAAUGCGUAGAGAUCCGGAAGAACACCGGUGGCGAAGGCGGCCUGCUGGGCAGUGGCUGACGCUGAGGCGCGACAGCGUGGGGAGCAAACAGG